AAUCAACGCUGGCGGCGUGCCUAACACAUGCAAGUCGAACGAGAAAGUGGAGCAAUCCAUGAGUAAAGUGGCGACCGGGUGAGUAACACGUGACUAACCUACCCUCGAGUGUGGAAUAACAUCGGGAAACCGAUGCUAAUACCGCAUAACAUCGCAAGAUCAAAGGAGCAAUCCGCUUGAGGAGGGGGUCGCGGCUGAUUAGCUAGUUGGCGGGGUAACGGCCCACCAAGGCGAAGAUCGGUAGCCGGCCUGAGAGGGCGCACGGCCACACUGGAACUGAAACACGGUCCAGACUCCUACGGGAGGCAGCAGUGGGGAAUUUUGCGCAAUGGGGGAAACCCUGACGCAGCAACGCCGCGUGGAGGAUGAAGCCCCUUGGGGCGUAAACUCCUUUCGACCAAGACGAUAAUGACGGUACUGGUGGAAGAAGCACCGGCUAACUCUGUGCCAGCAGCCGCGGUAAUACAGAGGGUGCAAGCGUUGUUCGGAAUUAUUGGGCGUAAAGGGCGCGUAGGCGGCGCGACAAGUCACCUGUGAAAUCCCCGGGCUUAACCCGGGGCCUGCAGGCGAAACUGUCGUGCUGGAGUAUGGGAGAGGUGCGUGGAAUUCCCGGUGUAGCGGUGAGAUGCGUAGAUAUCGGGAGGAACACCUGUGGCGAAAGCGGCGCACUGGACCAUAACUGACGCUGAGGCGCGAAAGCUAGGGGAGCAAACAGGAUUAGAUACCCUGGUAGUCCUAGCCCUAAACGAUCAGGACUUGGGGUGCUUCACGUUCGUGAAGCGUCCCGGAGCUAACGCGUUAAGUCCUGCACCUGGGG
rnacentral:rRNA from 1 species